UACGUAGGGGGCAAGCGUUGUCCGGAUUCAUUGGGCGUAAAGAGCGUGUAGGCGGCCAGGUAGGUCGGUUGUGAAAACUGGAGGCUCAACCUUCAGAGGUCGACCGAAACCAUCUGGCUAGAGUCCGGGAGAGGAGAGUGGAAUUCCUGGUGUAGCGGUGAAAUGCGCAGAUAUCAGGAGGAACACCGGUGGCGAAGGCGGAUCUCUGGGCCUUACCUGACGCUCAGGUGCGAAAGCUAGGGGAGCGAACAGG
rnacentral:rRNA from 1 species